CUGUGACGUGCAUAAUUGGACUUUAGUAUGGCCACAUUCUUGGACAAUUACAGGACCAUAAAGAGCAGUUAUACAACUGGUGCAUAUUUUCAUUUUCAUUUUUGGGAAUUGGAUUGUUCCUUGCCCUAGUAGGUAUCCCUUUGAACAAACCUCUGUACACAAUCAGUUACAUGCUGGUUACAUCUGCAUCUGCAGGAAUAACAUUUUCUACUCUGUAUAUAUUAGUGAGUUCCAAACAAUAACAUUAAAUUGAAUGGUUGAAAACUUUCAGAUUGCACUUCGUGGAUUUGUUGUUAAUAUUUGGACAACAAAAAUAUCUUUUACUCA